CCCAGAGACCAGCCUAGACAAUGUGUGAACGUCCCUGGACCAACCUGCUGAAGGAUGAGACCCAUGACUCACUCACCCCUGCCACUGUAGUCAGCCAACUGCUGACAGACAGAGGACAACAGCCAGACACACAGGAGAACAUGAUCAGGCUGGCUGCUGGAGAAUGAGAGAGAGACGGUUCAGCCGUCCGGAUGGCUCCAAACAAUAACCAGCUGACCACCAAGCACAGGAGUGAGCCCGCCGGGACCGGAAGAACCGCAGGAAGAGAGUCCUCCCUUUACUUUGAAGAGAACAGUCACUUUGCAACAAAUGGUGGCCCUUUCAGACACAGAAGAGGUGACUGAAGGAUGAAGUCAUUUUUCCCCAGGGAGAAAACAUAGAGGCUCUUGGCUCCCAGGAGUUACAAAGUGUCUGGAAUGAAUAUGCUAAUGACUCAAGGAUUUAUACUUCUGUAUGUGUCCCUCCUGUUGAAAGUUCUACAGAUGGAAUGAGUGUAAAUGAAGCCUUUUCAGAUGGUGUAAGGA